rnacentral:rRNA from 1 species
AGUGAACGCUGGCGGCAGGCUUAACACAUGCAAGUCGAACGGCAGCGCACUAAGAGUUUGCUCUUACGGGUGGGGAGUGGCGGGAGGAAGAGGUGAGUAACCGACUCUACUUUUUCGUGGAGGAUAAGGAAGGGGAAGUUACGCUAAUAUCGCAUCUGCUCUACGGGUGAAAGCAGGGGAUCUUCGGUCCUUGUGCGGUUGAAUGAGCCGCUGUCGGAUUAGCUAGUGGGCGGGGUAAAGGCCCACCAAGGCGACGAUCCGUGGCUGGUCUGAGAGGAUGAUCGGCCACACUGGAACAUAGACACGGUCCAGAGUCCUACGGGAGGCAGCAGUGGGGAAUAUUGGACAAUGGGCGCAAGCCUGAUCCAGCCAUACCGCGUGGGUGAAGAAGACCUUCGGGUUGUAAAGCCCUUUUGUUGGGAAAGAAAAGCAGCAGGUUAAUACCCCGCUGUUCUGACGGUACCCAAAGAAUAAGCACCGGCUAACUUCGUG